AUCGCUCUUCUCUUGUGCCCUGUUCUCACUGAACGAAUUCGCACGGAGUUACUUGCGACUUGCUCGCAGUGUGCAUCUCGUAGCGAACAACGACGGCAAGCGGGAGAACAUUGCAUCCUUGAGGCACGCCAAGAACACUGGUUUACCGGUGACGGGACGGCGUCACUGGCUGCCUGUUUCGGAGAAAACCAAAGCUGCCCAACUCGUUCUUGCUCUUCGGUAGGAGGGGGAGUACAUGUACGGCUGAGCGGCGCGUUGCAGUUUUAGACGAUGGGAAUCUUAGGUUUGUCAAAGCUGCUCUACGACAAGUCCCCAAAUGCCAUCCGGGAGCAAGAGCUGAAGAACUUCUUUGGGCGUCGCAUCGCCAUCGACGCCUCCAUGAGCAUUUACCAGUUCAUCAUUGCCAUGAAGGGGUUCCAGGACGGGCAGGGAUUGGAGCUCACAAACGAAAAGGGUGAUGUGACAUCACACCUCAACGGGCUCUUUGCCAGAACUCUCCGCAUGAUCGAUGAGGGGAUCAAGCCCAUCUACGUUUUUGAUGGAAAGCCUCCGAAAUUAAAGGCUGACGAGCUGGAGAUGCGCCGUCAGAAGGCUGCUGAGGCAGAGAGGGAGUUUGAGAAAGCGAAAGAUGCUGGCGACGACGAAAUGAUGGAGAAGAUGAGUAAGCGAACUGUGCGCGUGAGUCGAGAUCAGAUUGACGAGAGCAAGAAGCUUCUACGGCUCAUGGGGAUUCCUGUGAUCCAAGCGCCUUCGGAAGCCGAGGCUCAGUGCGCAGAGCUGGUGAAGAAGGGCAAGGCUUGGGCGGUGGGCACGGAGGAUAUGGACGCCUUGACGUUUGGCUCCACAGUCAUGCUCCGCCAUCUGAACAUCAGCGACGCCAAGAAGCGACCCAUUGCAGAAAUCCACCUCGACGAGGUGCUGCAAAUAACGGGUCUGUCCAUGGGCCAGUUCGUUGAUCUUUGCAUUCUUCUCGGCUGCGACUACGUCCCCAAGGUUCCCGGGAUCGGGCCGCAAAAGGCGUGGGAGGGCAUUCAACGCUAUGGCAGCAUCGAGUCAUUUCUAGAGUCCCUUGACACCACGAAGCACCCCGUGCCUGCCGACUUUUAUUACAAGGAGGCCCGCGCCUUCUUCCAGAAUCCGGAGGUGACUCCCGCGGAAGAGAUCAACAUUCAAUUUUCGGAGCCAGACGAGGUUGGGCUGAUUCAGUUUCUUGUGAAGGAGAAGCUGUUCAACCCAGAUCGCGUCAACAAGGGCAUCGGGCGGCUGAGGGCUGCCCUCACCAGGAAAACGCAGGGACGGCUGGACAGUUUCUUCACGGUCACCAAGGUACCUCAGCAGACAGCCGCUGCGCGUGCGCCGCUCGCUGGAACAAAGAGGCCGCGGGAUGGAAAAUAUGUGCAUGUCUCCGGAACUCUACGAAAGGCAACGAGCGGCCACAAAAAAGCUGUGAAGAAGUAGAUUUGUACCCUGUAGAGGCGACCUUGAAUCCACAUAGGAGUGGUACUCUUGCAUAGAGUGCGAAUGAGGGCGGGGAGCUGUCUGUGUGCAGCAGCGACUCAUUUGCUCUAUCCUGCGAUGCCGCACGCGGUGCACGAUUACUCCGCAUUCCUUGAAAAAGUCAAGUGAGCUGAUUGAACUGGUUGCCGAGGAAAGGAAAAGGCGUACUACAGCUGACAUGCGCACUCUAGAACGCUUACUGUGCGACUCCGAU
rnacentral:misc_RNA from 1 species